UACGGGGGGAGCAAGCGUUGUUCGGAUUUACUGGGCGUAAAGGGCGCGUAGGCGGCCACCGCAAGUCGACUGUGAAAUCUCCGGGCUUAACCCGGAAAGGUCAGCCGAUACUGCGGGGCUAGAGUGCAGAAGGGGCAACUGGAAUUCUCGGUGUAGCGGUGAAAUGCGUAGAUAUCGAGAGGAACACCUGCGGCGAAGGCGGGUUGCUGGGCUGACACUGACGCUGAGGCACGAAGGUCAGGGGAGCAAACGGG
rnacentral:rRNA from 1 species